CUCAAUGAAAAUUAAAUAGCCGCAAUAUUUUGUGCUAAGGUAGCAUAAUCAUUUGUUUUUUAAUUAAAAACUAGAAUGAAAGAUUUAACAAUUUUAUUUCUCUCUUACAUAUAAAAAUUCAAUUUAUUUUAAUUAUAAAAAAAUAAUUAUAUAUAAAAAAGACGACAAGACCCUAUUGAACUUAACUAAAGUUUAACUGGGGUAGUUAAUUAAAUAUAAUUUUAAUUUUAAUUUUAAAAUUACUCUAAUACAAUUAAAAUAAUCAAGUUACCAUAGGGAUAACAGCGUAAUAAUUUUCUAAAGACCUUAUUUAAAAAAUCGUUUACGACCUCGAUGUUGAAUUAAUAAUCUAUUAAAUGUAACAAUUUAAAAAUGAAAGUC
rnacentral:rRNA from 1 species